rnacentral:rRNA from 1 species
GAUGAACGCUGGCGGCGUGCCUAAUACAUGCAAGUCGAACGAGGUGCUUUUGUAGCAAUACGAAAGUAUCCUAGUGGCGAACGGGUGAGUAACGCGUUGGUGACCUACCCCAAAGUGUGGGAUAACAGUUCGAAAGAACUGCUAAUACCGCAUGUGGUUAUCGGAUUUAGAAACUGAUAACUAAAGGAGCAAUUCGCUUUGGGAGGGACCUGCGUCCCAUCAGCUAGUUGGUGGGGUAACGGCCUACCAAGGGUACGAUGGGUAGCUGGUCUGAGAGGAUGAUCAGCCACACUGGGGCUGAGACACGGCCCAGACUCCUACGCGAGGCAGCAGUGGGGAAUAUUGGACAAUGGGGGAAACCCUGAUCCAGCUACGCCGCGUGGGUGAUGAAGGCC